GUUGAAACAUCAGGAGCUACUGUAGAAAAUGAACCACUUAUUCAAGUAUGAAACAUGGAGAAGAAUUAAGCUCCUUCUGGGCCUGGUAAGAGUGAAAUGCAGGAGAACAGACAUGGUUCUUCUGAGAGAAGGGACUAGGAAGUUGUGAGACAGCAGACGUACUCUGCAGGACCACCCACUGUGCAGGGUGGAAGCCCAUGCCAAGAUGCUGAGGUUUGAUGUCAUUCUGAUCUGAUCUGGAAAUGAGGUUGGGAGUCAUGGACCAGUCCCUGAGAAAGCUGUGUGUCCUGUGCGCAGAAACAAUAUACCAGUCUUCACUGUACAGCAUACUGCCACUGCCAGGACAGAGAAUGCCUAAAAUGCCAUUAAAUAUGUGCAAGAAAAUAUCUAUGAAGAUUAAG